UGGGGAAUAUUGCACAAUGGGCGCAAGCCUGAUGCAGCCAUGCCGCGUGUGUGAAGAAGGCCUUCGGGUUGUAAAGCACUUUCAGCGGGGAGGAAGGCGUUAAGUUUAAUAACCUUGGCGAUUGACGUUACCUGCAGAAGAAGCACCGGCUAACUCCGUGCCAGCAGCCGCGGUAAUACGGAGGGUGCAAGCGUUAAUCGGAAUUACUGGGCGUAAAGCGCACGCAGGCGGUCUGUCAAGUCGGAUGUGAAAUCCCCGGGCUCAACCUGGGAACUGCAUUCGAAACUGGCAGGCUAGAGUCUUGUAGAGGGGGGUAGAAUUCCAGGUGUAGCGGUGAAAUGCGUAGAGAUCUGGAGGAAUACCGGUGGCGAAGGCGGCCCCCUGGACAAAGACAGACGCUCAGGUGCGAAAGCGUGGGGAGCAAACAGG
rnacentral:rRNA from 1 species